CUUGGGUGUCAUUAAGAGGAGCAAGUACAUGGUGGAGAAAUGGAAGAGAAAGAGAAACAGAAGGAUGCCCGUCCAAUGAAGAGAGGCAAAACUGGAGACUCAAGGUAGUGAGUGAUGAUGCCUCAGCUCUCCUGUGUCAGUGGGGAUGAAGAAGUACUUUUUCCACAAAGGAAGUUUCCCUGGACAUAGAGAAAACAGUCUACACUGAUAUUGGACCCAGACAAAAAAAAAUGAAGGGCUUGAUGUAGUGGUACACAUCUUUAAUCUCAGCAUUCGGGAGACAAAGGCAGGAACUCUACAGUCAACUUCCAGCCUUCUAGUUGAAGUCACAAGAAGAAAAAGUUCCCAGGACAUGAACAACACCAAGAAUAAACAUCAUAGAAUGAUGGAAGGGAGAAACUAGAAACUUGCCUUGUUUGGCCAAAGUCUGGCAUUAACAGAUGAGCAUGCAGAUGGGAGCCCACAGGAGGAAGCAUACAUUCUUGGGGAACACACAUAUUGUGGAGAACUUACUAAAGGAGACAUAAACGGAAA